rnacentral:rRNA from 1 species
GAGUUUGAUCAUGGCUCAGAUUGAACGCUGGCGGCAGGCCUAACACAUGCAAGUCGAGCGGAUGACGGGAGCUUGCUCCUCGAUUCAGCGGCGGACGGGUGAGUAAUGCCUAGGAAUCUGCCUGGUAGUGGGGGGACAACGUUUCGAAAGGAACGCUAAUACCGCAUACGUCCUACGGGAGAAAGCAGGGGACCUUCGGGCCUUGCGCUAUCAGAUGAGCCUAGGUCGGAUUAGCUAGUAGGUGGGGUAAUGGCCCACCUAGGCGACGAUCCGUAACUGGUCUGAGAGGAUGAUCAGUCACACUGGAACUGAGACACGGUCCAGACUCCUACGGGAGGCAGCAGUGGGGAAUAUUGGACAAUGGGCGAAAGCCUGAUCCAGCCAUGCCGCGUGUGUGAAGAAGGUCUUCGGAUUGUAAAGCACUUUAAGUUGGGAGGAAGGGCAGUAAGUUAAUACCUUGCUGUUUUGACGUUACCAACAGAAUAAGCACCGGCUAACUUCGUGCCAGCCGCCGC